AGGAUGGGCAAGCUGUGGAAUGGCAGGUGUCUGGCUUUCUCGCCGUCCGAUGUGAUGCUCUCUCACCUGAGCCUUAGAAGAGCCUAAGAUAUGCUGAGGGGCAGACACAACUGCGUCUGAGGCUUCCCGCGCAUCCUGCCAGCAGAUGGCAGUGUGGGUCUUCAGAGAGCGCUAGCCCGGGGAAAGGGCUGAGUUUCAGUAGGCAGGACCUGAGGAAGACCCUCCCGAACCUCUCUACUGAUGGAGGCGCAAGCUGCCAGCUGGUGUUCUCUGAGGGGCCACUCACUGUACCCAGCCCAUAGACUGCAGACAGAAACGUCGCUAGCAUUCACUUGAGUGGACCGGACUGAAAUGCCGGCUUGAAUGGGG
rnacentral:lncRNA from 1 species